GAUAAUAUUCUGUGGAGUGUAGAUUAGCCUUGUUUUCAAUACCUGGAAACAGUUAGCAAAAACUGCCAUGGCUGCAGGUCAUGAAAAAGACCUUAUUUGGGAAUGUUUCCAAGAAAUUCCUGUGCCACUGGGGAAAAGAAGAAAACCUCCCAAAUAGAGAGGGCAACAAAGAGAUGCAAGGUCUGGUAGCUAGAAUGAAGAAACAUUAUGAAGAAUGCUUCUCAGAAGGCAAUGAACUUGAAAGUGGUGAUGUGGACAUGUCUGAGCCAUCUGGAUGAAUUGGGUCCAGCUUAGACAAGACAUUAUGAACAUCUAUCAUCUGCAAUAUUUGCAAUUUCAGAAUCAUCUACUGAUACCACCAGCAGUACUGCAAAUAAGCAUACCUCAGGCAGUGAAUUACCUGCAUCUAAAAAGAGACUUUGUUCAUUAGCAAGUAAAGCUAUGGAUGAAUCCAUAAUCAGGACCAGCAAAAGGUCAGGAAACAACACAGAGUUAAAGACUAGUUCAGUUCAUUUAUGCAACAAGUUCUCCUUUUUGUCUUGUUCAGAACAAUCAUUUCACUGACACAGUGCAAUCAUUAGGACCAGGUUACACUCCACACAGCAGAAGAGAUAUUGCUGGAAGGCUUCUGAAUACAGCAUAUAAGAAGGAAAUUGAAUAGUGUGCAAAAAAACAUUGAAUGGAAAAGUGCUAACCUGAGUCUUGAUGGAUGGAGCAAUGUACACAAUGAUCCAAUAAUAUGUGCUUAUAUAACAAUUCUGUGAAUUGUUUCUCUCACAGAAACAACUGUGACAUCAGGAACUGCCCACACUGCAGAGUAUUUCAAAGAAGUAGCAGUCAAAACUGUGAGCAAAAAUUCAAGUGUUGUGUGCAUAGACUCAUCACAAAUAAUGCUGCAAAUGUAGCAGAGAUGAGAAGAAAUUUAGAAGAAGAUAACAAAGCAAGCCUGAAACUUAUAAUGUAUGGGUGCAGUGCUUAUUUGAUGCAUCUUUUAGUCAAAGAUGUCAGUACUCUAGGAAUAAAUUAAAAUAUUGUUGAAACUGCAAAAUACUUCCAUAACAACCAGUUCACCUUGGCUUCACUGAAGAAAACUGGGGAAUCCAAACCAAUUCUCUCCCAAGAUGUACAAUGGAAUUCAGUGGCUGACUGCACUUUGGGCUAUUUAUUAAGAACUGGCCUAUUCUGAUGACCAUCCGUGAAGAAUAUCAUGACUAAACUGAUGGGAGUAUCACUGCUAGUGUAGUUGGCACUGGACUAAAGAGAAAUGUAGAAGAUAUGCUGCAUACACUAAAAUCUACUUCCACAGCCUUGG